UACAGAGGGGGCAAGCGUUGUUCGGAAUUACUGGGCGUAAAGGGUGCGUAGGCGGCGCGGUAAGUCGGGUGUGAAAUCUCGGAGCUUAACUCCGAAACUGCAUUCGAUACUGCCGUGCUUGAGGACUGGAGAGGAGACUGGAAUUUACGGUGUAGCGGUGAAAUGCGUAGAUAUCGUAAGGAAGACCAGUGGCGAAGGCGGGGUCUCUGGACAGUUCCUGACGCUGAGGCACGAAGGUCAGGGGAGCAAACGGG
rnacentral:rRNA from 1 species